UGAGUACGAGCUGCUACGGCAGCGAAGUGGGUGAUGUCAAGCUUCCAAGAAAAGCCCUAUACCCGUUAAGGCAUGACGGCCUGUACCCGAAACCGACACAGGUGGGGUGGUAGAGAAUACCGAGGGGCGCGAGAUAACUCUCUCUAAGGAACUCGGCAAAAUGGCCCCGUAACUUCGGGAGAAGGGGUGCCACCGCAAGGUGGUCGCAGUGAAGAGGCCCAGGCGACUGUUUACCAAAAACACAGGUCUCCGCUAAGUCGCAAGACGAUGUAUGGGGGCUGACGCCUGCCCAGUGCCGGAAGGUUAAGGAAGCUGGUCAGCGCAAGCGAAGCUGGCGACUGAAGCCCCGGUGAACGGCGGCCGUAACUAUAACGGUCCUAAGGUAGCGAAAUUCCUUGUCGGGUAAGUUCCGACCCGCACGAAAGGCGUAACGAUCUGGGCGCUGUCUCGGAGAGAGGCUCGGCGAAAUAGAAUUGUCUGUGAAGAUGCGGACUACGUGCACCCGGACAGAAAGACCCUAUGAAGCUUUACUGUAGCUUGGUAUUGUGCCCGGGCUCUGAAUGCGCAGGAUAGGUGGGAGGCUUUGAUCCAUUGCUUGCGGGUGAUGGUGAGCCAACGGUGAGAUACCACUCUUUCAGAGCUAGGGUUCUAACGGUCACCCGUUAUCCGGGGACCGGACAGUAUCAGGUGGGCAGUUUGACUGGGGCGGUCGCCUCCUAAAAGGUAACGGAGGCGCGCAAAGGUUCCCUCAGGCUGGUUGGAAAUCAGCCGACGAGUGUAAAGGCAGAAGGGAGCUUGACUGUGAGACCUACAAGUCGAACAGGGACGAAAGUCGGCCUUAGUGAUCCGACGGUUCUGAGUGGAAGGGCCGUCGCUCAACGGAUAAAAGUUACUCUAAGGAUAACAGGCUGAUCUCCCCCAAGAGUUCACAUCGACGGGGAGGUUUGGCACCUCGAUGUAGGCUCAUCGCAACCUGGGGCUGAAGUCGGUCCCAAGGGUUGGGCUGUUCGCCCAUUAAAGCGGUACGCGAGCUGGGUUCAGAACGCCGUGAGACAGUUCGGUCCAUAUCCGGUGCAUGCGCAGGAACAUUGAGAGGAUUUCUCCCUAGUACGAGAGGACCGGGAGGAACGCACCUCUGGUGUACCAGUUAUCGUGCCAACGGUAAACGCUGGGUAGCCAUGUGCGGAGCGGAUAACCGCUGAAAGCAUCUAAGUAGGAAGCCCACCUCAAGAUGAGUGUUCCCAUGGCAUAAGCCAGUAAGGUCACGGGAAGAACACCCGUUGAUAGGCCCUACGUGGAAGCGUGGCAACACGUGAAGCGGAGGAGUACUAAUAGACCGAGGGCUUGACC
rnacentral:rRNA from 1 species